UUCCUUUCUCUUUCUCUUUCUCUUUUCUUCUCUCCCGUUCUCCGUGAUUUUCCCACUUUCUACUACCACCACAUGAAACUAUCAUCAACAUCAAUACCGUCUUUCUACUACCUUUCUGCUGAUAACCAUCAUUAUCAUCAACAUCAAAACCGUCGUCGAGGAAGAAAGUUAUCUUGUUUAUUAUAUGUUUGAGGAGGCAAUCACCUCGGCUUCUUCUGUUGAAAGAACACUUGGUGCGUCCUUUAGUCUGAACCGAUAUCUCUCAAAGUUGUUAACCUGCGAGCGUGGUAUGAUUGCACCAAGCUAACAACAGAGGUUUUGAAUCUCUACAAGAUUCAAAAGUUUGCUAUGCGAUUUUUGAUUGCAAGCGAUGCUCAAGCGUUCAUGGAUUUCAUAAAAGUAGAACCAGCACCACUUGCAAUUGCAGAACAGGAUCGACACAAUAGAGGUUGUAGCUUUGGUGAAGGAUUUUUUCAAAGGGCAUAGAGACCUUAUUUUGGGCAUCAAUACCUUCUUACCCAAAGAUUGUGAGAUAACCUUCCCACUCGACACGGACGAGCCUCUUCCGAAGAAACCCGUAGAACAGGUUCUCAUAUGAACAUCUUUUUAGGCUCGUAGCUGUACAAUUCUGACUUGUAUUUCUACUGUGUUUCGUCUUUUUCUUCUAGUGAACCUAUUAUGUUCUCAUGUCAUGAGAGAUUGGCGGAUAGGAUGGGGAUUGACAAUUACAGGUAAUAAUAAGCUUAAGAACUUAUAUACUGGUCUUAUCUUCUAAAGAUAUCAUAUAAUAGUUCUUAAGUUGUUUCAAAAAUCGAUUUGGAGAGGGUGUAAAACUAGAAGGAAGGAAGCUGAUUUAAAGAGUAGUUGCUGGCUAAGGUCGAAAGUUUCAAUUUUACCGUCUUUAUUUCUUGGUCAGUACUGGAAUUUAACGUAAUUUGGUAAAUUACUUUGCCACGGUUGAACUAUCUUAUUCUCUCUGCAGAAUAAAGUGAACCUUCUGAAUACAUAUCCUACCGAGUCUCUUAAAAAGCCAUUGUAUCAGACUUGUUCGCCAGAGCUGGUACCAUUUGCAGCAUAUAUUUCUGGGCCACCACCAGAUGCCACUUAUUUUCUUGAGAUGUCACAACUUGUAACCUAUACUCCUAGGAUUUCACCAGCUGUCGCUUCUCCUAAGAUGCAACCAGAUACGAAUGGAGCCAACAAUGGUCUUGGCAUUGCAGUUGGACUUUUGGCACCUAUCAAGGAGCAAUUCCCUUCAAUUAGUUAUGUUGAUUUCUGUCAGAUUCCUUGAUGCAUAGAGCUGCAGCUGCAGAAAUGUCAUUUCUUUUGGAGCCUAGCAAGAAGUCUGAAGUCAUCAAACUAAUUGAAGCUUCUAAGUUCGAGCUAAGCGUGGUUGUGGAAAACAUCCUCGUAGUAUCGCAGAAAGAGUUCGAAGAACAAGAUUCAGUGACCUGGUAAAGAAACUUCAAGAGCUUGUACCAAAUAUGGAUAAGAAGUGAAGAGCCUCUGAUGGUGAUCAGAACUACAGCCUGUCUCCAUGAUCAGGAAGCAGUGAUGUAAGUGAAACUAGCCCUGCAAAGAUCGAUCCCCGUCUGCUCGACGUGGAGCAUUUUUUUAAAUGUUGAACAGGAUAAACCUAUGAUGAAGGAUGUUCUUCGCGAUUGUUAUUUUUCAGACAUAGGUUUUCUGCAAACCACGACAGAUAUGAAGCAUGAUUAUGCCGAAUUGCAAACCACCAUACCUAAUUGAAGAGAUCUCUUGUAAGAUUUUCAUUUUUCAUAACACAUAUGUAAGAUAUGAUUCUCUUUUCAACACUUUGUAUGAAUUCAGUGGAUGUAAUACUACGGUUAAA